rnacentral:misc_RNA from 1 species
AAAGACAGGAAUAGUGAACUCAUGGACGUAUAAAUAAAGAAUUUAUUUAUACGUCCAUGAGUGAACUAUGUACUUAUGCCACCGAUAAUCGCCCGUUUCGCGAUUCAAGUUUAUAUAGGCAACACAAAUUACACGCCGCUAAUAUUCGGGUCAGGAUCUAGAAUCGAGUUAGAGAGUAGGGUUACAUUUUUCUGACAAGACAAAAGACAAUCAAUCAACUCAACAACAACAACAAAGAUCACAAGUACUUAAAACUGAGAGGUUGGUGUCGACUACUGUCGACCGCUUUUUUUUAUUAAAAUAUGUGCUUGUGGACUUGGGGGCUUAUUAAUUAGACCUCCCUUUGUUUUCAUAGUAUGUUUUACUGUGAUUAAUAUAAUAUCAAAUUCAUCAAAUAGAGGUAAAACAGGACUUGAAUUGAAAUAUUAAUAUGGGUGAAAUACAUCAAUCAAUGGCAGAAGUAAGUGAAUGAUGCUCUUUUAAUACUAAAAUCAAGUUUGAUCAAAUGGAACUAAAUCAAGAGGUUAGUGAGGACUCCUGUAAAUCAGAAAUACAAGCUAAUGAGGUGAAUGAUGCUCUCUUUGAUACUAAAAUCAAGUUUUGUCAAAUGGAAGUAAAACAGGAGGUUAGUGAGGACACCUGUAAAACAGAAAUACAAGAUGAGGUGAAUGGCGCUGUUUUUGAUUACCUUAAAAUUGAGCUUAAUGAAGAGCUGGAGAAAGAAAGUACACAUAAUGCAUCUGAUUAUUUAGAAUCAAAUGAAGACUCUAUAAAAACUGAAAUAGAAGGAGUUGAAGAAAAACUAACAAAUAAAAAAAGUUUUCCCCUUGAAGAUAUACAAACUGAUGCAAGCAAAGUAUUCAAAGACCCUGUUAGAACUAAUGGUACUUUGAACCAAUAUCUAUCUGCUGUUACAUGUGAAGUUUGCACCAAACAAUUUUUCACAAAAAAUCUUUUAACCAUAGAUAUAAGUGAGAACAUCAAAAAAGGAAUUUACACAUGUAAAACAUGCACCAAAGACUUCUUAAAAAGUUUUGAUUCAAAGUCACAAGUGGAAACCCACAAUACUGGAGAAAAACCGUUUGAAUGUGAAAUUUGCUCCAAAUUGUUUUCACAAACAUGCCAUUUGAAUGAGCAUAUGAAACUACACACGGGAGAUAAACCUUUUAAAUGUGAAAUAUGCUCCAAAGUGUUUUCACUAAAAUCCAAUUUAAAUAAGCAUGCGAAAGUCCACAAGGGAGAUAAACCUUUUGCGUGUGAAGUAUGCUCCAAAACGUUUUCACUGAAAUGCAAUUUAAAUAAGCAUAUGAAAAUCCACACGGGAGAUAAACCUUUCACUUGUAAAAUUUGUUCCAAAGUGUUUUCACGUAAAUGCAAUGUAGAAAGACAUGAGGAAAUGCACUGGAGAAACACCUUUUACAUGUGAAAUUGGCUCCAAAAUCAAAAGGAUCAGCAAGCUGACCCUUGGAAGGGUGGACUUCUAUGUGUUUUCCCCGUGAAGAUAUACAAACUGAUGCAAGCAAAUUAUUCAAAGACCAUGUUAGAGUUAACGCUGCUUUGGACCAAUUUCUGACUGCUUCGACGAAAGUGAAAAGUGAAAAAAGUUAUGUUACCUGUGAAACUUGCGCCAAACAAUUUUCAACAACAAAUCAUUUAAAUGCAGAUAUCGGCGGGAACACCAGAAAAAGAAUUUUCACCUGCAAAAUUUGCACAAAAAACUUUUUAAAAAGUUCUCAGUCAAAAUCACAAGUGAAAACCCACAAUACUAGAGAAAAAUCCUUUAAAUGUGAAAUUUGCUCCAAAUUGUUUUCACAAAAAUGCCGUUUAAAUGAGCAUAUGAAAUUACACAAAGGAGAUAAACCUUUUUCAUGUGAAAUUUGCUCCAAAAUGUUUUC